rnacentral:rRNA from 1 species
UCCUACGGGACGCAGCAGUGAGGAAUAUUGGUCAAUGGGCGAGAGCCUGAACCAGCCAAGUCGCGUGAGGGAGGGAGGUACAGAGUAUCGUAAACCUCUUUUGUCAGGGAACAAAGACUGGGACGCGUCCCCGGAUGAGUGUACCUGAAGAAAAAGCAUCGGCUAACUCCGUGCCAGCAGCCGCGGUAAUACGGAGGACGCGAGCGUUAUCCGGAUUUAUUGGGUUUAAAGGGUGCGCAGGCGGUCUGUUAAGUCAGCGGUCAAAGCCCGGGGCUCAACCCCGGCCCGCCGUUGAAACUGGCAGU